AUUCCAGCUCCAAUAGCGUAUAUUAAAGUUGUUGCAGUUAAAAAGCUCGUAGUUGGAUGUCUGGCUCUGUGUUGCGGUCCACCGCAAGGUGAGCACUGCGGCGUGGAGUCUUCCUCUUGAAUGGCGUGUGUGCGCUUGAUUGUGUGUGCGCGUUGUUUGGGAUCUUUACUUUGAAAAAAUUAGAGUGUUCAAAGCAGGCGAUUGCUUGAAUAUAUUAGCAUGGAAUAAUGGAAUAGGACUUUGGUUCUAUUUUGUUGGUUUCUAGGACCGAGGUAAUGAUUAAUAGGGGUAGUUGGGGGCAUUCGUAUUUAAUUGUCAGAGGUGAAAUUCUUGGAUUUAUGAAAGACGAACUUCUGCGAAAGCAUUUGCCAAGGAUGUUUUCAUCG
rnacentral:rRNA from 1 species